UACGGGGGAUGCAAGCGUUAUCCGGAUUUAUUGGGUUUAAAGGGUGCGUAGGCGGACAGUCAAGUCAGCGGUAAAAAUGCGGUGCUCAACGCCGUACAGCCGUUGAAACUGGCAGUCUUGAGUGGGCGAGAAGUAUGCGGAAUGCGUGGUGUAGCGGUGAAAUGCAUAGAUAUCAACGCAGAACGUCCGAUUGCGAAGGCAGCAUACCGGCGCCCGACUGACGCUGAGGCACGAAAGCGUGGGUAGUCGA
rnacentral:rRNA from 1 species